UACGUAGGGUGCAAGCGUUAAUCGGAAUUACUGGGCGUAAAGCGUGCGCAGGCGGUUCGGAAAGAAAGAUGUGAAAUCCCAGAGCUUAACUUUGGAAUGGCAUUUUUAACUCCCGAGCUAGAGUAUGUCAGAGGGGGGUAGAAUUCCACGUGUAGCAGUGAAAUGCGUAGAGAUGUGGAGGAAUACCGAUGGCGAAGGCAGCCCCCUGGGAUAAUACUGACGCUCAUGCACGAAAGCGUGGGGAGCAAACAGG
rnacentral:rRNA from 1 species